GGGUCGUUAGCUCAGUCGGCAGAGCACCUGACUUUUAAUCAGGGAGUCACUGGUUCGAGUCCAGUACGACCCA
rnacentral:tRNA from 2 species